CAGCCCUCUGGAAUCUUCUCUCACCUCCUAGACACACAUACACACACACAGAGGCACCUCCGGGUAAACAACCUUUGUCCACCUUUGUCCCGGGCCUCCUCUCUCCCUCAGGCUCCAUGCUGAGGAAUGCAGCUGGGAGCCUGCCAGCAAAUGCCAAGGGGCCUCUGGGUCCCAGGUUAGCACCCCACAGCACUCCACAGGGGCAGGCAGGCCUCCAGAGGCUCUCCUGGAAUCCGAAAAGCCACUUCCUUGCUAAGCCUCCGGUUUCCCAUCUGCAAAGUGGGGAUGAUCAUUCCUGCUGCCCUUCCUGACUGAGCCGUCUGAGGACCCAGGGUUCUAGGGGCAGGUCUCCCAGGAUGGGAUUUUGCUUUCUCUUGAAACCCAUGCGUUCCUAGAAUCUGUUCUGUGUUUCAUUGUAGGAGGCUCUGGCCAGGCCUGGGUGUGGCAGGAUAGAAAUGAAAGUUGUCCUGGCAACACACAAGAUUUCAUCAACAUUUCCAUCCCCAGAAGCUCCUGGGCUGAGCCUCAUCUUGCCCAAUGUGGCCUGUCAAGAUGAGGGCCUGGAAGAGAAGCCAGGCUGGGCAGCCAGGCCUCUGCCCCUCCCCUUGCCUGGUGGCACAGCCAGCACUGGCUCACUGGGAAAGCUCACAACUCCUCACAGCGAUCUGGUAUUUUGAGCUUCAGUUUCUGGCCGAAACUGGGGGCUCCUGACGGAGUUCCCUCCCACCUAGAAAACCUUUCCUGCAGUCUGAUUGCUCCAGCACCCACAGAGCAGGAUUCAGGCUGGGAGGCACCCCUAGGUACCCGGCUCCUCAUCACAGCAGCCCUCUCGGUUCCACAUCUGGUUCUCCUGCCGAAGCCGCUGGUUCUCA